rnacentral:rRNA from 1 species
AACGAACGCUGGCGGCAUGCUUAACACAUGCAAGUCGAACGAGACCUUCCGGUCUAGGGGCGCACGGCGGCGUACCGCGGGGGAACUUACCCUUAGGUUAGGUAUAACUCACCGAAAGGUGUGCUAAUACAGGUUAGUGUAAUCGGACCAAAGAUUUUUCGCCGUAGGAUGGGGCCGCGUUGGAUUAGCUGGUUGGUAGGGGAAAAGCCUGCCAAGGCGACGAUCCAUAGCUGGUCUGGGAGGAUGACUCGCCACGCUGGGACUGCGACACGGCCCAGUCCCCGACGGGAGGCUGCAGUGUGUAGUAUUAGGCGCUGGGCGCUAGCCUGAUCCAGCCAUGCCGCGUGAGUGAUGCAGGCCUUAGGGUUGUAAUGCCGUUUUUCCCGAGGUGAUAGUGACAGUACCGGGUGAAGAAGCUCCGGCUAACUCCGUG